rnacentral:rRNA from 1 species
AACGCGAAGAACCUUACCAAAUCUUGACAUCCCAUGCAUAGCAUAGAAAUAUGUGAAGUCCUUCGGGACAUGGAGACAGGUGGUGCAUGGUUGUCGUCAGCUCGUGUCGUGAGAUGUUGGGUUAAGUCCCGCAACGAGCGCAACCCUUGUUGUUAGUUGCCAUCAUUAAGUUGGGCACUCUAACGAGACUGCCGGUGAUAAAUCGGAGGAAGGUGGGGACGACGUCAAAUCAUCAUGCCCCUUAUGAUUUGGGCUACACACGUACUACAAUGGCUGUUACAGCGGGAAGCAAAAUCGCAAGAUAGAGCAAAUCCCAAAAGACAGUCCCAGUUCAGAUUGUGGGCUGCAACUCGCCCACAUGAAGUUGGAAUUGCUAGUAAUUGCAGGUCAGCAUACUGCAGUGAAUACGUUCCCGGGUCUUGUACACACCG